CGCCGGCGGCCGGGGGCGGGGCCGUUGCUCAGAGGAAAGGAUUAGUAUCGGUCAGAGGGGUCUGGUUGAGCGGUCCGGCGGAGCCCGAGGCUCUCUGUCCCAACGACGAUGGGCUCCAGCUCCAGCACCACUGGCCACAGGAAGGUGUCUGCCAGUACACUCAUCCCUUCCCCUCCAUGAGGUGACAUUAGGCCCAUGUGACAAACAGAGGUGCAGCAGCUCUGAGGGGUACCUGGCCAAGGUCCUGCAGCAAGUUGAACCCAGGUUCCCUGAUUCAAGUUCCUGGACUCUGCCAGCUGCGCCCCACCCAGCUCAGGGUCAAGUGCGGUGGGAGGGCAAGAGGUUGCAGUCAGUCAAGGUCACAGCUUUCCAAGGCCUCAGCACAUUGUUAAGGAAGGUCAUUCUGAGUGCCCUCAGAUCAGGGAAGUGCCCCUCUUCUCAGGGAGGAGAGUGGAGCAUGCAGCUGCCCCAAUUUUCAAGAGCAGUGCCCUUAAGCUGGGGGUUCAAGAGGAUUGCUACUAAGCAGUGCUGUGUGCUGCCUGUCUGAGCACAGGGUCGAGGGCACUCCUGGGCUUGGUCUCAUUUAAUCCUCAAAUUGGACAAUGGAGACAGAUUAGUUUAUCCCUACUUUAAAGAUGAGGUAACUGAGGUUCAGAAAGCUGGUUGGCAGAGAUCUCAUGGCUUGGAAGGGGCAGAAUAAGAACUGAGCCCAUGCUUCUGCCUCCACCCCUGUACCAGGCAGGAGUUAACAAUAACAAACCUAUAAUAAAUAACAUCAUUGUUCACACUGA